rnacentral:rRNA from 1 species
UACGUAGGUGGCAAGCGUUAUCCGGAUUUACUGGGUGUAAAGGGCGUGUAGGCGGGGAAGCAAGUCAGAUGUGAAAACCACGGGCUCAACCUGUGGCCUGCAUUUGAAACUGUUUUUCUUGAGUGCUGGAGAGGCAAUCGGAAUUCCGUGUGUAGCGGUGAAAUGCGUAGAUAUUAGGAGGAACACCAGUGGCGAAGGCGGCCUGCUGGACGAUGACUGACGUUGAGGCUCGAAAGCGUGGGGAGCAAACAGG